CCUUUGCCGGCGACCGGCGCACGGGUGAGUAACACGUAUGCAACCUGCCCUCUUCAGGGGGACAACCUUCCGAAAGGGAGGCUAAUCCCGCGUAUAUCGGUUUCGGGCAUCCGAGAUCGAGGAAAGAUUCAUCGGAAGAGGAUGGGCAUGCGGCGCAUUAGCUAGACGGCGGGGUAACGGCCCACCGUGGCGACGAUGCGUAGGGGUUCUGAGAGGAAGGUCCCCCACACUGGUACUGAGACACGGACCAGACUCCUACGGAAGGCAGCAG
rnacentral:rRNA from 1 species